rnacentral:rRNA from 1 species
GACGAACGCUGGCGGCGUGCCUAAUACAUGCAAGUCGAGCGGAUCGUUCCUUCGGGAACGGUUAGCGGCGGACGGGUGAGUAACACGUAGGCAACCUGCCUGCAAGACCGGGAUAACUAACGGAAACGUUAGCUAAUACCGGAUACGCGGUUGAAUCGCAUGAUUCGAUCGGGAAAGAGGGUUUCGGCUCUCGCUUGCGGAUGGGCCUGCGGCGCAUUAGCUAGUUGGCGGGGUAACGGCUCACCAAGGCGACGAUGCGUAGCCGACCUGAGAGGGUGAUCGGCCACACUGGGACUGAGACACGGCCCAGACUCCUACGGGAGGCAGCAGUAGGGAAUCUUCCGCAAUGGACGAAAGUCUGACGGAGCGACGCCGCGUGAGUGAUGAAGGUCCUCGGAUCGUAAAGCUCUGUUGCCAGGGAAGAACGGCCUGGGGAGUAACUGCCCGAGGCAUGACGGUACCUGAGAAGAAAGCCCCGGCUAACUACGUGCCAGCCGCCGCGGUAACAC